rnacentral:rRNA from 1 species
CUAGUUGGUGGGGUAAAGGCCUACCAAGGCAUCGAUCAGUAGCUGGUCUGAGAGGACGACCAGCCACACUGGAACUGAGACACGGUCCAGACUCCUACGGGAGGCAGCAGUGGGGAAUUUUGGACAAUGGGCGAAAGCCUGAUCCAGCAAUGCCGCGUGAGUGAAGAAGGCCUUCGGGUUGUAAAGCUCUUUUGUCAGGGAAGAAACGGUGAGGGCUAAUAUCCCUUGCUAAUGACGGUACCUGAAGAAUAAGCACCGGCUAACUACGUGCCAGCAGCCGCGGUAAUACGUAGGGUGCAAGCGUUAAUCGGAAUUACUGGGCGUAAAGCGUGCGCAGGCGGUUUUGUAAGUCUGUCGUGAAAUCCCCGGGCUCAACCUGGGAAUUGCGAUGGAGACUGCAAGGCUAGAAUCUGGCAGAGGGGGGUAGAAUUCCACGUGUAGCAGUGAAAUGCGUAGAGAUGUGGAGGAACACCGAUGGCGAAGGCAGCCCCCUGGGUCAAGAUUGACGCUCAUGCACGAAAGCGUGGGGAGCAAACAGGAUUAGAUACCCUGGUAGUCCACGCCCUAAACGAUGUCUACUAGUUGUCGGGUUUUAAUUAACUUGGUAACGCAGCUAACGCGUGAAGUAGACCGCCUGGGGAGUACGGUCGCAAGAUUAAAACUCAAAGGAAUUGACG